rnacentral:lncRNA from 1 species
CUCCUCCUCCUCCUCUUCUCCUCCUCCUCCCAACCCAACCCAACCCCUCCGGCUCCCCCAGCAGUGAGGCCGAGCGCACACGCCCCCCUCCGCUCGGCUUUCCGCGCAAUUCUCGCGCAACGCACCCCCACCCCUUUUUCUUUAUUAUUAUUUUUUUUUCUUCUGUAUGUUUGUUGUUGUUUUCUUUUUCCCCCUUUUUUAUUUUCGCUUUUCCCUCCCCCCACGCUCCCCUCGGAGGAGAAACUUUGCGAGGGGAUCCGCGUCCAGGGAGGUAAGAGGAAAUGGAAAUCGUUCUCUGCAAACUUUGGGAAGCGCUUUGCUGCGAGGAGAAAUUCUGCAUGCAGGGCAGUGAUGCAGCCCCUCUGAUUGCUCUUCAGCCCUGUGAGGGAACCCACAUUGCCUGCAACAGGUUUUCCUUUUACACCAUGGAUGAUGGCCUUUGCUUACUGGGAGCUAAGUUGUCUGGAGGAGACCCAUCUUCAUGUGCUGGCAGCUGGUGAAGUGCAAAUGGAGAGGUGAUGUUGAAAGGGAUCUUCAGGUGUCACCCCGUCCAUCCUCCUCCCUUUGGCAGUGUGUAUUGGACCUUUCUUUAGUCUCCCCCAGCCAAAGUGGGCCAAUUCAUCUGUCCUCUCUCUCUGUUCAGCCCUCCUGGUUACACUGCAGGACCUUGGGAUGCUGCAGGGCUCCUUGAUGGGCUCAUCCAAGCAACUCCCAAGUUUUCCAGGCACCCACCUUGGUCUUGUUGGUUCACUCUCCUAUCAGCUGCUUUGCACUCAGAUGUCCUAAUAUGCUGUCUGCAGCAGCUUCCUAGCACAGAGCAUACUGUGUGUCAUAAGAGUACCAGGUGUGAAAACUAUUCAGUUAAGUUCUCCAUCACUAUUCCAUCCAUCUUCUAGAGAGACAGGACAGACACACUGCUGAUACGGGUGCAGGUAAGGUACUGCUGCCUGUAAAAAGAACCCACUCUGCUUCCCAGCCUUCAGCUCUUGGAUAUUUUGGCAUUUUAUCAGGGUGAAACGCAUUCAGAAGUGAGAGCAACCAGCCCUGCUGGUCACGAUGCCAGGAAAUGGUGGGCAUGAGUAGUGCCUCAGUGGGACGAGAGGUAAUUGCUUUACGUUGUGCCAGGGGAGAUUUGGGUUGGAUAUUGGGUGGUGGAGUCACUGCCCUUGAAGGUGUUCAAGAACUGUGAAGCUGUGGCGCUGAGGGAUGUGGUCAGUGGGCAUGCUGGGGGUGGGUCAAUGGUUGGACUUGGUGAACCUGGCAGUCUUUCCAACCUUCAAGAUUCUAUGAUUUUCUCCAUGGAUAUCAGAAGAACCAAACAGAAGUUGUUUUGCAGUCAGUCUAAAGGUUUUAUCUGCUCGUAGGUGUCUUGGUGUACAAUAAACUGGGAUUUUGUCCUUCGGAAAGAAUGUUGCACUUCAUUUCUCAGCUUUGCUGGCCCCAUAUCCCUCCAUCUUCUCUUGCUUCCAAAGGCCACCAAUCUCAUUCCUUGUUUUUGCCACCAAAUGUCACUCAUUUGUGUUGAGAAGCAGGAACUGGCAGCAGGGAAGUUGCCACUAAUCCAGCAAGUGACCAAUGUUUCCCGGUUGUAUCCUAACUGUGCUGAGGGAUAGUGCACAGACACUUAAUUAUUCUCCUGUCAGAGAUUAAAUAGAUUGCAACUCCUAACACCAGAUCUGAAUAUAAAUCAAUAAUAAGGGACAGAGGAGAAAGAUUUAAAAAUUAUGCCAAUGGUGGAAUGGGACAAGGACAAGGAGGGUGAGGGACAUAUGGCAGAAGUACAGGAUGGGAGUGUUCUUGUGGCCUGGGUUCCUGCUCAAGCUUCUCCAGGAUCUCUUAUGGGCUUUGCUUUACUUAUCUCUUAAGACCUGAUCAGAAUGGGAACAAUGGGCUUUAUCCACAGAAGUAAUUAAAAUGUUGCACUCCUUGGCAGGGGAGUUAAAAUCAAUUUCUCCAAUACAAGAUGAGGAGCAAUUGGCCAGGCUGCUGCCAGGCAGAAAGGAUCCAGCACCGUGAUGUUUACGAGGUCUGUGGGAAUCCAGCUCUGCCAAAAUAUCACAGUGGUGCUGGGAUGCCUGUGCAGAGAAGAACACAGCAGGAGGCACAGGACAGUCUCUCCAUUCAGCUUGGCAAUAGUAGGGCCUUGGCUCAAGAACAAUUUCCACACCUCAGGAAAGAUAUGGCUCAGCUGGGAAAAGCCCAGAGAGGUGCAAAGAGAAAGAUUGGAGGUGUAGAAAACCUGGCUUUGAGGAAAGGCUGACAGGGAGAGAAGUGUGUGGUCUGAGGAGGGGACCAAUGGGAGACAAAGCAAGCUGCCAAACACAUGUGAGGCAAAUGCAAAGAGGAGUGGUACAAUGUGUCCUUGAGAGGGGAGAUUUAGGUUGGAUAUAAGGGAAACUGGAUAUAAGGGUAGUGACUCGCUGGCAGAGAUUGCCCAGAGAAGGUGGUGGGUGCCCUGUCCCUGUUUACACCCAAGGUCAGGCUGGAUGGGGCUCUGAGCACCUGAUGGAAGUGUGGGUGUCCCUGUUCACUGCAGGGGAGUUGGACCAGAUGGCUUUUAAAGGUCCCUUCCAACUCAAACAAUUCUAUGAUUCUAUGACCUUCUGCAAGUAGGGUGAGUAAAGAGCUUAGUCUUCAACAGACAACAUCAGGAGAAACUUCCCAGUGCUAUGAAUAGUUUAGCAUAGGGACACAUCACUGUUGUCACUGCAGAAAGCUUUAGUCAAAGGGCUUGCAGGAUGGUUUGUGUGCCAUUGGUACCAGGGGCCUCCUGGAGGGCUUUUUCAGACUUUCUUGUCUUGUUUCUUCCAGUUGCAAAUGGAAUCAUUAGAAUUCACUGCUUGAGUGUCUAUGAAGACCUGCAGCAGUAGUAACCCCCAUCUGCAAUGAAAGAGAUUGCAAGAGCAGUCCUGUGCAUAUUUAGCCAAUGUGCAGCUCCUAGGGCUGGUGGUACAGACACAGGCUAGCAAAUACAUGUGCCAUAGCCACAGAAAUUGGUUAUUCUACAGCAUUACAAAUCCAACCUAUCUCUGACAAGCAAGCACUGCACAAGAGCAAAGCUUUUCUGCGUGAAAUGCUGCAAAAAAAAAAUAUCAGUUACGUUUAGUGUUACAGUGGCACAAAGAAAAUCUCAUUAGAACACACUGACAGUGAUCUGCUAUAAAAGGAACAGAAGCAAUUUGUAAGCUCUAUGAAAAAUGCAUCUCUGUUCUGCCCCAUUCUCACAGCCUGCUGCUACUCUAGGACAGAUUUCCAGUGAGUAGGAUCUGUGCCUUCUUGCUUAGUUAGCUCUUAAAUACCACGUUUUAUUUGCUUGGAGACUUGAACAAUAAAUAGCAAACACUCUUGUCCCUAUUUUAAACACAUGGUAACUGCAGUACGGAGAAAUGAAAUGACUUGUUCAGGGUCACAGAGCAAUUCUGUGACAGGGCUAAGACCAGAACCCAGCUCCCUUGCUCCCAAACCCAUAUUCCAGCCUUCAGCUCUUCACUGAUGCUGGAUUUUAAUCACCUUUCAGGGAAGUCUGUUGGCCUCUUCCAGUUGACUUCCAUGGGAGUAGUGCCAGGUACCAAAUGAAGCCUCUGGGAUGCAAAAGAAGCCAAUGUUAGAUGUUAGGAGAAAAGUGAUGGAAGGGGAAAAAAAAAAAAACACACAGAUUUUACAGAAAAAGGAGUAAGUUCUAGUGUCAGUUCCGUAAUAUCAUUCCCUCUUUAAUUUGUGUCUGGUCAAAAUUAAAAAAAAAAAUAGAUUGCUAAUAUUAAUAGAUGAAAUGAAUCUUGAAUUUUAUAAUAAUGGAGGAAAUGAAAGGAUGAAAAUGAUACUGUGUUGUUAACUGAGAUUUUAAUAAUGAUUCUGUCCUCAGUUGGUGCAUUUGUUCCACAGAAAGUAAAUCAUUAAUGAAGAGAGACUGGAAAACAGCGUUACGGUGAUAGAUUUUGAAAGAAAAGUUGAGUUUUGUUGAACUCCUAGAAAGUCUGUAACAUACUUGCAGCUCCGAAAGUGAAGGACAAACAUCUCAAAAGCAACCCCCAUAGAUGGGUUUGACACAGUGGCUUACAGUGCUGAGGGUAACAUGGAGCAGUUCCUGUGGCUUCUCUCCAAGAGCGCUGAGGUGGAUGGAAGAGUUAGGUUAGAGAUGUCAUUUUAGUUGGAGAAAGGAAGGUUUGAAAUACCUAGAGAGCAGAAAAUGAGAAACUGAAGGAGCCCACCAAACCAGACUCUUCCUACAGAUUCCACGGACUUUUUUGGGGUCUUCUUUCCACCAUGUCCUCCACAGAGGAUGGAUGGUUUCUAACCACUCUUGAACUUGUGAGGCCAUUUGACUUCCCAGGUGAAGAGAGAACCUGCCAAGGCCACCUCAUCCAAUGGGAGCUCUUGAUCUACCCACUGCUAUCUUCAGCCACUCCAAGGAUCCCCAAAACCAGGGCCCCUUGGAGCAGCAGCGUAUUUCAUACCCUAGCUUGAAAUGUCAAGUAGGGGGAGGGUUGCAUUCUCAGAGCAGUGGAGAAAACCAUCUUGGUACCUGGGAUUUGAGGCCUGAGAAAAAGCAAGUGUGGAACGUACAUGCCUCUGUGUGCAUGAUGGAGAUGGGGGAAAAGACAG